AGUCACUGACAUUAGAUACCCGGGUAGUCCAGGGUGUAAACGCUGCAGACUUGGUGUUGGAGGCCCGUUUGGGGGCAUUCAGUGCCGGAGAGAAGUUGUUAAGUCUGCUACGUUGGGAGUACGUCCGCAAGGAUAGAAACUUAAAGGAAUUGGCGGGGGAGCACCGCAACGGGAGGAGCGUGCGGUUUAAUUGGAUUCAACACCGUAAACUCACCAGGGAAGACUGUUACAUGAAGGCCGAGACGAAGACUCUGCUAGAUUUUCAG
rnacentral:rRNA from 1 species